UAAUAAUUGAUGAUGAUGAUGGUGAUGGUGGUGGUGGUGGUGGUGGUGAUGGUCAUGGUGGAAGAAGAGGAAGAAUCAUGUCUACUCUACUUGUUGGUGCCAGCGUAGGCAGGACGCAGAAGGGAGGGAAACUAAGAGUAAACAGAUAAGUCAUGAUGCUUUGACUUGAGAAGCAAAACCGUUGAGCUGGUGUGUAGGAUGCUGGCCGACUGACCCUGCCCAGGAAACUUCAGUGGCACCUCCAGAUUUGAGGGUCUAAGUCAUGUCCAAAGGAAACUUGGGACAAAUGUCUGUCACACUUCUUAGUAUGGCAAAGUGAUUGCUUGCCUCUAAGCAUUGAAAAUACCUGGUUCAGAGCCCAUGCUGGCAUCCUGGCUCCUCUCGGCUUUCCACUUGGCUCACUCUGCUUCUACCCUAAACUUCUGCUCCUGGACUCUCCUACCCCAGCGUCUCAUUCCUACACAACCUGCCAUUUCAGCCCUAUGCCCUCUGCCUUCCUUUCUGGUCCCCUCCUCUUUUGUCUUCUCCUCUUCUUCCUCUUCUCUUGCUCCACGACCCCGUCCUCUCAUGGUCUGGUCCAAUGUACUUGUCAUGUUCAGUCUACUGCUUCCUCUCCCCGCUCUGGAUUCUUCCAGACGCCUCUGGUUAUACUCUCCUUAUAUCUACAAUAAACACCUUCCCCUCCGACACACCUUGGAGCAUUCAUGUCCCUGCUUUAUAUGUCUUGGAAGUGUAACCCUGCCUUGGCUUCUCUCCACAUGUCUCUUACGCCUCAGCUCCAAAGACUAAGUCGGGCAGGGGUGUCCAUAUGUCAUCCAGAAGCUCAAAUUUAGGAGCUUCAGAGAACCCUUCUCAGCACUAAGGUGGGAUAAGAGACCCUGCUAUUCAGCUCAGAGUCUAAUUAAUGCCAGGGUUUGGGUGCUUGGACUAGAAACCCACAGCUUCUGGCUUAUAGAACUGUUUUAUUUAUUUAUUAAAUAAAACGGGUUUAUUGAAUAAAGCACACAGGUCUGGUUCCAGGCUUUGCUGGGGAUACAUGUUAAUCAGUGCGUCAGACCCACUUACUCAUGGAGCGGCUAAAGAAAACAAGCUCCCAGUUAGAUGCUGCUUGGGGCUGUAAUUUCCUAGGCAAUACUUCCUCCUUGUUCUAAAAGAGGGCUGAGGUCCUUGGGGAAGACGGCUGUACUGGGGCCACUGAUGGGCUCGAUGAGACAUUAUUGCCUUUAUGCAGAGGGAGGGCCUGUUCUGUUGGCGAGCUGCCUAUGAACUUGUUCUAAGCCAGCACACAAUUGCAAACAAUGCCAUGCUGAGCUGCACCCUGCCCUUCGCAUGCCGUUUCGAGAGCUGCUGUCGGUUCUGUUUAUGACUUCAUUCAUGGGAGACCUUCUUCCAUCGGGCAUUGUGCAGGGUCCUGGGGCUGUCACGAUGGGACAGACAGCAGAGUAUUCAGACCUUUCCAGGGGGCUAUCAGGGGCUUGUUGCAAUUGUGAUAAGAAUAAUUACAGAGAAACAUGGGUGUUACAGAACAGGGACGAAACGUCCUGAAGGCCUGUAGCCACAGAGGGGAACAAGCUUCUUGGAGGAGGUGAAGCCUGACUUCAGCAAGGGUAUGGAUGGUUUUGGAGCCGGUAUGAUUAACUUCACUUGGGCUACAAUCUCAGGAAGGAAUGGAAUGGAAAUCAUUUUUGGAAUAUAAAUCAAAGAGGCUGUGUUCACGAUGCUCUCUACGAGUGUUUGGGGUGAUCUGAAUAACUCGGUCUUGAGAACCCGUUGAGGACGCAGUGACGGCAUCCUGUGUGCUUUGCUGUCCUGAGAGUUGCUCAGACAGUGUGACGAAAAUGUCUCCCUUGAGAGGAGAUGGAUGGAACCAGGUAAUGGCAGGAGGGGAGUAGAAGGGCAGGGGAGGCAGCACACACCCUGCUUGAUGAAGGGGAGCUGCUGAGGACACCGAGGGGGAGGAGGAGGGGGAGUCUAGGGACCCGGGGACUGCAGGGCCCCAGUAUCCCAUCUAAGCAGGGGGAAUGUCUAAGCACAGUUCUGGGGACACCUCCUGGAAGCAGGAGAAGCAAACAGUCUACAGGGCUGGGGAACAAUCUGGGGAGAGUGUUUAAUGAACCCCCUGAAUAUUAGGGUCUCAACUGUCUCCUCAGGAUCCCGCAGGACCUUAGGUUCUCCACUUGGGAAGGCUUAUGCCAACCACAGAAUCAAAGGGACAAUGGCAAACUACCUUGAAAGGUAAGAAAUGUUCAACCUUAGCCCCUGGAAGUCCGUAAUAAGAGAAAAGAAAGGGUUUUUGGAGGAAGGAGGAGGGAGUGAAAGGGCGGGGGAUGUUUGUUCCCGGGUAAAGUAAAAGAUGAACGAUGCUCUGAGGAUUAGGGGGUGGCACAUUAAAGAUGCAUAACCCGGAGGGGUUUCGCGUGAGCUGCUUGGGAGAACAGGUGACGGUGGCCAUCAGUAGAGGCCCCCCAGUCACCUACUGGCUCAAGGACGGCCCUCCUCCAGAACGUCAGAACUUUGAGUUUAAUCUGGCACUGGACAGGUGGGAUCUUUAACCAGCCCCACUCAUACCCAUUUCUCUAGCUCCAACUGUAAGUGGGAGCCGUGACCCUUCCACGAGAAGACUGGACCUCUGUCCUAGACCCAGCCCGCUAUCUCCUGACCCCCAGCCUUCGUGGACAUAAACAUUCUGACCUUAACCAUGGAAACUACAGUGUAGCCACAGAGCAGUUAGAGCUGGUGAAGUCAGCUACAUAUUCACAGCGACUCUUGCGCCCUGGGCUCUGCUCUGGAAGACUGUGGCUGAUGGCCACCGAGCACCUGCUUUGAGUCUUGCCCCAGCUUCAUCCAAAUGAGAGGAUUUAUAGGUCCUUGACAUUUGUCCCUUAAAGACUUGAAUAUUAAUUCAACAAGUUUGACUGAAAAGCACUUCUAAAAUGUGUUAGACCUGGAUGACCACAGAUUGUUCCAAAGAACGCUUGCUUCAUUGCCUCUGAACUCGAGUGGCCUCUGAGCAGGCUCCCAGGGAUCACCGUGAAGGCUGAAUGGUUCCUGCUCCAUGGUCUUUGGCUAGCUCCAAGAGCAAUUUUUCUGUGAACUUCAUAGGCAGCGGGCUAGAACAAGACAACCCUGAGAAGGGGUGGGGGUGGGGACGAUGGGCAGAGCUUGGUCCCUCUUCCAACAUAAACAGAGUCAGCAAUGUGGGCAGGGUCUGGAGCUUUUGGAGACUCAGGUCUGGAAGCUGGGCUCAAAGACUUUGUCCCUUUCCUCCCCGCUCACUGGGGGCCUUUCUCAGGAGCUUGAGGGGAGCCAGAGUACACCCGAGGACGGCCCCUGCCCAAGGGAAGCGGCCAUGAGUGCACAGUGCUGUACUGUGGAUAACAGGGCUUUUUGACAGUCUUGGUUCGGCUCCCAAGGCCGGUGACAGUGACACGAUGAUGAAUGUGCAUAAAUCCCACACCACUGACGGAGGGGAGCAUCUACGACCGGUCUGAGUAUCUAAAACCUAAGCGUUUGCAGUCUAAUUGGCAGUGAUCACAGCCAACACUUAAAGGAACAUGUAUCUUAAGUGACCAUUAGUCCAACAUCUGCAUUCUGACAGGGUCACUGAGGAGCGGGCAGUUUGUCAAAGGUCAGAGUCAUGCGAGAGCCCUAGCAAGAGAGCAAGGGGUGGGCCUGGGCCUCCUUUACCCCCCAACCCAGGACUCAGGCCCCUUGGGUGCUCCAGGCAGGCAGCAGCUUCUGCUGUUGUUCUCCCCUGCUGCAGUCCUGUGCAUUUUAAUUGCUUACACGUUCUCUUCUCAUACCCUGGGGUAAUUUUACAAAGGGCACAACUCUGACAUUCAAAAAAGAGCACAUACAUUCUAAGGCCAUUUAAAUCCCUUUGAUUAAAGAGGAAAAUAACAAUUGCGAGAGAGACGCUCGUGCUUGUGACACACACACACACAUAACACGCACACCACAUACACACACACACACACCACACAUACCACACCACACACA
rnacentral:sRNA from 1 species